rnacentral:tRNA from 1 species
GCGAUUGUAGUCUAGGGGUUAGGACGAGAGCUUCCCAAGCUUUUGACCCGGGUUCGAUUCCCGGCAGUCGCA